rnacentral:rRNA from 1 species
AUGGAGGUUUCGGAAGAUCGUAGAGUUCCUUUGGUCGCAUACAAGCUGAAAGGAGAAACCGGUGCAUGGUGGCAUCACGUUCAAGAGGAGCGCAGGCUGAGAGGAGAACCUCGUGUUAGAAAUUGGCGAAAAAUGAAAGGCGUCUUGAAAGGGAGAUUUUUACCCGCUGAUUAUGACCAGAUCCUAUUUAUCCAAUUUCAAAAUUGUGCUCAAGGAAAUAGGAUUGUUUCAGAUUACACGGAGGAGUUUCUAAGGCUACAAGUGAGGUGCAACCUUGCUAAAACUGAAGAGCAACAAGUUGCAAGGUACAUCAAUGGUCUCAAUGAUGCUAUUCAAGAUCGAUUGAUGAUGCAACAAAUCUGGUCCGCUGAUCAAGCACAAGCUCUAGCCUUAAAGGCCGAGAGGUUUGUGAGGAUGAGAAAGACAACUAAGGCUCCAUAUCCUCCAUAUCCUCAUACCGAAGGCUCAUCUAGGAGCCAACCUAAUAGAGUGGAAGAAAAGACCACUCCACCAAAGACAAAAUAG